AUCAGAAUCACCUCGGGAGCUUGUUAAAAGCACAGAUGCUUUGACCCCAACCUAUAGAUUAGGAUUGAGCAGGUCUGGGUGGGGCCGAGGCAUAUGUAUUUUUAACAAGCUCCCUGGUGACUUGGAU
rnacentral:miRNA from 1 species